rnacentral:rRNA from 1 species
GAUGAACGCUGGCGGCGUGCCUAAUACAUGCAAGUCGAGCGAACAGACGAGGAGCUUGCUCCUCUGACGUUAGCGGCGGACGGGUGAGUAACACGUGGAUAACCUACCUAUAAGACUGGGAUAACUUCGGGAAACCGUAGCUAAUACCGGAUAAUAUAUUGAACCGCAUGGUUCAAUAGUGAAAGACGGUUUUGCUGUCACUUAUAGAUGGAUCCGCGCUGCAUUAGCUAGUUGGUAAGGUAACGGCUUACCAAGGCAACGAUGCGUAGCCGACCUGAGAGGGUGAUCGGCCACACUGGAACUGAGCCACGGUCCAGACUCCUACGGGAGGCAGCAGUAGGGAAUCUUCCGCAAUGGGCGAAAGCCUGACGGAGCAACGCCGCGUGAGUGAUGAAGGUCUUCGGAUCGUAAAACUCUGUUAUUAGGGAAGAACAAAUGUGUAAGUAACUAUGCACGUCUUGACGGUACCUAAUCAGAAAGCCACGGCUAACUACGUG